rnacentral:rRNA from 1 species
UACGUAGGGGGCUAGCGUUAUCCGGAAUUACUGGGCGUAAAGGGUGCGUAGGUGGUUUCUUAAGUCAGAGGUGAAAGGCUACGGCUCAACCGUAGUAAGCCUUUGAAACUGGGGAACUUGAGUGCAGGAGAGGAGAGUGGAAUUCCUAGUGUAGCGGUGAAAUGCGUAGAUAUUAGGAGGAACACCAGUUGCGAAGGCGGCUCUCUGGACUGUAACUGACACUGAGGCACGAAAGCGUGGGUAGCAAACAGG